GUAUUAACCAAAAACAGGUUUCGACGUUUUUUAUUUUUUUGGUGUGAAACAGCAAACUUCUUACACAGGCUACUCAGGGUCGUGGUGAAGUCCAUCUUGGGAUGCAAGGUGAAGAAAUAUGCUGGGCAGGACACCAAUCCAGUACAGUGUGGCCAAUUAGUCUUCCGCUGUUGGGGAUCCUGAUCACAUCAGAGGAGGGUAUAUUCCGACCUUCAUGCUCCAACACUUCUGUACAGGCGCCUCAGGCUACUAACCUGGGUUUUUGCACAGCGUUUGAAGACUCCACCCACCUAUUAGUCCGGUCUUUUCCCACCCAGCACUCGUAGCACUGUUGCCUCACAACAAGAAGGUCCUGGGCCAUUUCUAUGUGUAGUCUGCAUGUUCUCCUCAUGUCCAUGUGGGUGAGAUGAAUUGGAGAUACAAAAUUGCCCUUAGGUGUGAAUGUGAGUGUGUGUGUGUUUGCCCUGUGAUGGACUGGCGACCUGUCUGACAUGUUUCCUGCUUUUU